GACGAACGCUGGCGGCGUGCUUAACACAUGCAAGUCGAACGAAGUGGCGAACGGGUGAGUAACGCGUCAACAACCUGCCCUUCAGAGGGGGACAACAGUUGGAAACGACUGCUAAUACCGCAUACUGAAGGAGGGGCUUGAGUUUGAUUAGCUAGUUGGAGGGGUAACGGCCCACCAAGGCGAUGCGCAGUAGCCCGUCUUAGAGGAUGGACGGCCACAUUGGGACUGGGACACGGCCCAGACUCCUACGGGAGGCAGCAGUGGGGAAUCUUCCGCAAUGGACGAAAGUCUGACGGAGCAACGCCGCGUGAGGGAUGACGGCCUUCGGGUUGUAAAGCUCUGUUAAUCGGGACGCGGUACCGGAAUAGAAAGCCACGGCUAACUACGUGCCAGCAGCCGCGGUAAUUC
rnacentral:rRNA from 1 species